GCAAUGGGCGAAAGCCUGACCGAGCGACGCCGCGUGCGGGAUGAAGGCCCUCGGGUUGUAAACCGCUGUCGUUGGGGAGGAAAUGCAAAAGGGUUAUCCCUUCUGUUUGACCGAUCCAAGGAGGAAGUACGGGCUAAGUUCGUGCCAGCAGCCGCGGUAAGACGAACCGUACGAACGUUAUUCGGAAUUACUGGGCUUAAAGGGUGCGUAGGCUGCACGGAAAGUUGGGUGUGAAAGCCCUCAGCUCAACUGAGGAAUUGCAUCCAAAACUGUCGUGCUUGAGGGAGACAGAGGUGAGCGGAACUCAAGGUGGAGCGGUGAAAUGCGUUGAUAUCUUGAGGAACACCGGUGGCGAAAGCGGCUCACUGGGUCUCUUCUGACGCUGAGGCACGAAAGCUAAGGUAGCAAACGGGAUUAGAUACCCCGGUAGUCUUAGCUGUAAACGAUGAGCACUUGAUUGGAGGGUCCUUCAUAGCCUUCCAGUCGUAGCGAAAGUGUUAAGUGCUCCGCCUGGGGAGUAUGGUCGCAAGGCUGAAACUCAAAGAAAUUGACGGGGGCUCACACAAGCGGUGGAGGAUGUGGCUUAAUUCGAGGCUACGCGAAGAACCUUAUCCUAGUCUUGACAUGUAUGGAUUAACCCUGUGAAAGCAGGGCCACGCCUUCGGGUGGAACAUACACAGGUGCUGCAUGGCUGUCGUCGGCUCGUGUCGUGAGAUGUCGCGUUAAGUCGCUUAACGAGCGAAACCCUUGUCUCUAGUUGCCAGCGUGUAAUGGCGGGG
rnacentral:rRNA from 1 species